rnacentral:rRNA from 1 species
GAUGAACGCUGGCGGCGUGCCUAAUACAUGCAAGUCGAGCGAACAGACGAGGAGCUUGCUCCUCUGACGUUAGCGGCGGACGGGUGAGUAACACGUGGAUAACCUACCUAUAAGACUGGGAUAACUUCGGGAAACCGGAGCUAAUACCGGAUAAUAUAUUGAACCGCAUGGUUCAAUAGUGAAAGACGGUUUUGCUGUCACUUAUAGAUGGAUCCGCGCUGCAUUAGCUAGUUGGUAAGGUAACGGCUUACCAAGGCAACGAUGCGUAGCCGACCUGAGAGGGGGGACCGCCACACCGGGACAGAGGAACCGCCCUCACCCCUACAGGGGGCAGCAGUAGGGGAGCUUCCGCAACGGGGGGAAACCUGACGGGGGAACACCGCGGGAAGUGUGAAGGGGUUCUGGUGCGUAAACACUUUUAUUAUGGGAGAAGAAAAGUUGUAGAAAACGUGCACAGCUUUACGGUAGCCAAUCAGAAAACCCCCGCUAACUACGUG